rnacentral:rRNA from 1 species
UACGUAGGGUGCAAGCGUUAAUCGGAAUUACUGGGCGUAAAGCGUGCGCAGGCGGCUUUGCAAGACAGAUGUGAAAUCCCCGGGCUUAACCUGGGAAUGGCAUUUGGGACUGCAAGGCUGGAGUUUGGCAGAGGAGACUGGAAUUCCUGGUGUAGCAGUGAAAUGCGUAGAUAUCAGGAGGAAUACCGAUGGCGAAGGCAGGUCUCUGGGCUAUAACUGACGCUCAUGCACGAAAGCGUGGGGAGCAAACAGG